rnacentral:lncRNA from 1 species
UAUCAUUUCAUACAACCACACAUUCACAAUACAGUCACUAUAUAUACCCUGAGCCUCAGACCAUUUUGGUGCAUUGAGUGCAUUGGUGCAUUGGCGUUAUGGCUUUCCAUUCUUCUUCAGUUCUUGCGGUUCUCUUGGUGCUUCUGGUCUUUACCACCACUACCAUGAUGGUCGAAUCCCAGCAAUGCUCCCAGCCAUGCUGCGGCCGGCUCCCGCAGGGUGGCACCGGCGUCUGCAACUCGGGCCAGUGCUGCAGCCGGUUCAAUUACUGCGGCAGUGGAGGAGAUUACUGCGGCUCUGGAUGCCAGAGAGCCUAUGGAAGUUGCUAUAGCUCAGCCGCCACGAAAACAGCAAAAGUGGCCCAGAACAUGACUUCCAACAAAGGUACGAAGUGAUGCCAUAAGGAAAACAUCUUGUUUACGAAUGUCUCAACUAUAUUGUACCAAAUAAUGGUGUGUAAUAUGUUUGUGCUAUCUAUUGAAAUUCGCCCUUCUAUACUAUAUGAAUUUGUUCUUGCGUUACCUUAGGCAAUCGGACCGGUGAUUUUGGAUGCCUAUAGAUGUGCCGUGGGAAGCCGCUAGUGGGAUAAUGGGAUUUGGAUCUGCCUUGCUUGGUGCCUCGCAGCUGUGUUUGCUGUGCUUGCAUAGUAGAAAAGACAUGGAGGCAGAUGCUGGGGGUGAAGCCGCAGAGAGCUUGAUGUCUCUGGCAAGAAGGUUGCUUCCCGAUUGCAGCAUCCUGUCAAUGCGUGCUUUGCUCAAGAUACGAGUCGUUCCUAGAAGAAGCUAGUUCUAAGGUCAAUUUAAUAUUAAGAUGUAUUUACAGGAAAAAUCAUAUUUCCUUUCACCAGCCUAUCAACAUCUUUUCACCAGCCCCACAAGACUUGACUAGCUUAGCCUACAGUCGUCUAAAGCCAAUCCCAAUGAAAUAGUAGAUACCUGAAAUUUAUUAUAUAAGCUUGAAGCUUCGUUUCCUAUGAAAGGACAUAACUCAUCUACUUUUUCUAUGAUGGGACAAACACACGUCUGAACAUACAACGUGUUCAGAUUAUGGACAUGCAAUACGUCCAAGAUUUAUAUGUCCAAAAUGUGAACAUCAACAAUGACUCGUCUUGGGGACCAGAUUUUGAACAUAUAUAAUGAAUUGUAGUUCUGCUGGAUGUGGACACGUAUGAUGAUUUAUCUUGUGAGUCGGAUUGUGGUGAAUAUAUGUAUGUCAGGAUUAUGCUGAGCUGUCUUCUGGUCAUUGAAUUGGACCCCUGUGAAACUGUGCAGGAAACAUCCGUUGUCAACUUGGUGUGCACCACUUCUGCAAGUUGUAUCUUGGCUGCCUGUACAUGUUGAUAAGCCCUUGAAGUAUUUUAUGGAGUAUAUAAUGUGAUGUACCUUAUGCUCGGGGCAAGCUCUAUAUAAGAGAGCUAAUGGAUGGGUUUCUUUGUGGACAAUAGGUAUUAGAGGGCUUCAAGAUUCAUGGCCUUCCAUCUAUUCCUAAUCAGUUGACUCCGCACCUGUCUAUGGAGGCUUCUUUAAACCCUAAACCCUAAACCCUAAACUAGGUCAAUAUUAGUGGCUAACAUCAUGAAGCACCACCACUCCCCCGCCGCCGCCACCAUCACCACUGGUAUGUAACUUAAACUUCCAUUUCAAACAGGUCAAAGAACCAUGAGAUUUCCGAGUUCCAUGGCACAUGAAGAUGUGUCCAUCAAAGGAUCUUAAUUGCACAAUGGGAGACCUACUUUCAGGUCAAUACUUGUGAUGAGAAUGUUAAGCUUUUGCUUAUUAAGAAAAAGCUUGGUACCUAUGCUUACUCUUGGUGGCAGAAUCUACAAAAGGCAAGGACCGCACCCAUGACUUUGGGCUGUUUUUCUUCCUUAUUCUGCUCGGCUUUUGUGUGUAAACAUGAGGCGGUGGACGAGUGGUUCUCUUGCACACAAGGUACUUUAUCGGCUCAGCAGUAUGCUCAACGUUAUCACGAUCUUCUACUAAACUCGCUGAAUCCAUCCCUGAGUUCCUGCAAGUCUAACAAUUUAUUUUCGGUUUGGCGUGAUGGAGUGUGAGAUGAAGUGAAGCGAAAUCCAUCAACCACACUUGCUGAAGCUGAAGAACUCGCUGUUAUUUUUGUUGAGAGUGUUCUCGUAUGAUCUCUAUUCUCAAUUAGAUCAUAAGAAGAGCAUUAAGCACUCAUAUGAGCAUCGUUUCUCUAGCCGAUCUGCUAGAACUCCACACUCAAUUAAUGGUUUUAAUGGUUCUUCUCAUGUGGUAUAGAAAAAUGAUGCUAACUAUGCAAGUAAGCAGUCUAAGUCGAGUUCGAGACUGAUCGUGCUUCACUCUGGGCUGAUAAUCGUGCACUUCAUCAAUGUUACAGUUGUUAUGAUCUUGGACAUCUUUUGAAGGAUUGUCCUUUGAAGAUACUGUUUUGAGUGCAGAUGUCAGAGGUCCUCAAAUUCCUUCUAUCCCUUUUAAUUUACUAAGCAUUAUCUUUUUUGAAAUGGAGAUAGAAGAUAUCGCUUUAGUUUUGUAAAUAUAAACAAAGAAAUGCUUUUCUUUUUCUUUUUUGCUAUCUAAGAAUUGAACCUUACCUUUCUCUUUUUAAGAAUAUAGAUCUAUAUAAGAUCACUUUAUACUCUACAAAGAGGUUCAAGGUUUUUUAUUUUUAUAUUCUGGAAACCAAACAUUAAAACAUUUGAUUUUAGAAAAAAAAAACUAGUUGCUACUUUGAAAAAGAGUACCUACUAGUGCUUGGCAAGAGUGUAGAGAAAACCAUGAAUGGUCAAGAACUGCUGGAAAUCUGAAAGUGAGUAUUGUGUUAAGUAAGCUCUUUCUGUCCACAACAAAACAUCAAGGGGAGUAUCCAAAGUGACCAUUUAAGGUACAGGAAGAGGAGAGGUCCUAGUUGGGUGAAACCGGACUGUAAACAGUUAGUAUUUAGAUGGUAAGGCAAGUAAAGUAUAAAUCUCACUCUUGUGUCACACAUUAAGGUCUAUAUAUAUACAUAUCAUAGCAAAGCUUAAAGAUAAGUUUGGUGGAAUUCUUACAAAACCACCAGCUUAUGAACCAAAAUUAACCAAUUAUAAAAUUAUGAUAAAUAAAUUUCAAUUUUGUGUUGUAAUGCUCGAAUCAACCCCUAAACCUCCAUUCAUAAACUUAUUCUUCUAUCCCUUCACACUCAUACUAGUAGAGUUGAGAAGUUAAUUAUUUUUCUUUGUUAAAUUUACAUCUGCAUUAAUUUUGUGUUUAAUUUAUAUUCCAGCCAUUGUUGUGUUUCAAUUAACUCUUCCUUUGAUAUUUAUUGCAUUUUUUUAUGCCACACCAUUGGUCUUGAUCAAUAAAUGUAUCAUUAAAGGCUGUAGAUGUUAUUCCAUUGUCCUCAUCUAGCAAUAUUAUUUCUACUACUGUAUCAUAUUUAGUGAGCAUUUAGACAUGAUAUAGAGUGUGAUCAAGUUUAAUGUUGCAUCGCUUCUGUAAGAUAUGAUUAUAGUGUUAAUCCUAUUUUUGGUAUUUUGCUAGUGGAGAGCAAUUUUUGAAAUUAACUAAAGAGCAAUGGAUGACAUAAUUAAAUUCUUAGAGAAUAUUUAAAGAUUAACUUGUGAGAGUAUAAUAUUUAUGAGCUCAAAUAAGUAUUCAAGUUUUUAAAGAUAUAUUUUAAGAUAGAGGUGGAGAUUUCAUGCGUCAGAAAUUAAUUUAUAAAUCAGUAUACCAUGUGAUCCAUUUUCUUUGCCCAUCCUCUCCACCAAUAUGAUUACGUGAGUGCUUGGGAUAUGAGAAUAUAUAUUAAACUCCCUGAAAUGGAUGGACUAAAGGUGGAUAAUACUAAGAUUAAAGUAGUUACAUCCUAGUAUUAUAUAUAUGUAAUUAUAGACCAUAUAUAACUAAGAUCUCAAAAAAAAAAUUCAACUCACACCAUCAUGCCAUCUAAAUAUGCAAAUUUAAAUAUUUGAACCUCACCAGUAGAAAUCCAGCCAAAAGAGCGAAUUUAUUUCUUCAUGACACCAAUUUUCUUCCUUAAAUCAAGCUCCCUUACUCCAAGUUUCAAACAUCUCUAAGUCAUGUUUGGUGAAGUUGCUAUUAAAAACGAAGCAAAUAAUUAACUUCAAAGCCAAGCAAUAGGUCCCUUUUUAGUCCUUCUAGCAGCUCUUGUAGCCAUGGGAAAUUCUCAAGUGAUUCCUGUUUAAGUGAUUUUUGUCUUCGGAUUGUUUGUUUAAUUAAUUUGUAUAUAUCUAGGAUUGCAGUAAGGGUAUUUACGGGUAACAGACCAGCAGGAAGCACUGCCAAAAUUACACUUGUCCUCUACAACGACGGAAGCAUCGCCCAAAAUCUCACUUGAGCCCUCCUGCAAAAAUUGUUGACUCUCCUUUUCUUAUUAUUUUUCACAAUGCAUAUAACAGGUUUUAGGCAAUGUGAUCUUAGUGGUCCAGAAAGACCUUUCCAAGAUGCUUACCAGGAGGAUCUUUUCAACAAGAGGGCCGGGUGCAUCACAAAUGCUUGUGCCUACAGUUCAUUCUUGAAGGACAGCGGGAUGUUUUUCACAGCAUGGAAUGUGAGCAGUGCACAAGUUGGAUUUUUGUCAACUGGAAAUGGCCUAAUUAUAAUUGAUGCUCCCAGAAUCAACAAACUGUUGGUGGUGCAAGCAAGUGCAACAUCUUUGGCGCCGGCAAUAUCUAAAAUAUAUGGAAGCUGCGCUUGAGAAGUCUGCCUGUGAAGAUGAAGGAAAAUGAAAAUGAUGGGAUGUUAAUGUCGUUAAGGACCAGUAAGAAACAACUUCAUAAGUUAGUGGUCUCAGUUUUUACUAUAUCAUACGGAAUAUUCUGGUUUAGGGUUUAGGGUUUAGGGUUUAGUUUUCCCAGAACUUUAGAAAAUUAAGAGAGAGUAUGCUACAAAUGUAUUUUCCAAAUAGGCUCAUGUCCACUGCUUUCUUCAGCAACAAUGUCACCAUCCUCAUGCAAACCCCCUUUUUCUCUCUUCCAUUAUCUGAGUUAUCUUGUGUAGCUCGUUGUUGAGCUUUUGAUCCUUGUUUUGCUGCCAUGUCUUUCUUCCAUCUUGCAUCUUAACACCAAAUUGAUAAGCGGCUUUUGGAGUGGCUUCUUUCUGGUCGUUGUAUUUAGACCAUUCUUCUUCUGUCUCAAAGUCCCAGCGAUGCAAUCUUCCUUUAGCCUGGAGAAUGAAGAACACAGUUAAAAGUAAACAAGAUAAAGAAAUCCUCCAUUGCCACCGACGUCCAUUUUCGUGAGAUCCACGUCUUCAUCACUGUCAACUAUCUCUCUGUUGUACUCCUGGUAUCCUGGGUAACACUCCGAGUAGCUCUCUGACACGAAGUUUGGAUCUUUCUCGCGAGAAUCAAGCUCCCUUCGCUGACGGAGCCUUUGAUCGUCCUUCCAGAUGACAUUUAAUGCUGAACCAAUAAAAAACUGCCACAUGGACAUUGUAUUGUGAGUGAAAUCUGCCACAGUAACACUCACCCUUUUACGAAUUGCACGCCAUAAAAAAAUCUUUAAGCUUUUUGAAAGAGUCGCGAUGGUUCCAAUGCGUGGCAGGAUUUCCAUAAGAUUUUUGAAUGAAUUUUGUUUGUACACCUUUCCAGAAGUUAUUUUUUUGCACAAGUGUGCAGCUGGAGAUUGGCCUUUAUUUCUUUCUGGGUGGCUUUCUCUAUUCAGCAUGUGGGAUUGGCCGGCAAGGACUUCAGCAGAAGCAAUCUCUCGCGCCCAAUCUCUCGCUGCCCCCCCCCUCCUCCGCGGCGCAGGAGCGAUGGCGGAUCGUCUGCGCGCCAGGAGAAUCUGUCCAAUGCGGACUUCCGACGGAUGGUCAUGGAGACGCCACGGCGAGCUCCACCGGAUGAGAGCUCUAAGGAGCAGCGCCCUAAAAAGUAAGUGUUAAGCUGCAUUCCACAGGAGAACAGUCUUAAAUGGAUUUUCGAUCCAGGAAGAAUGCCGAUGAGAGUGCAAAGCGUCCUCCUCGAAAGUUUCGGGCCGCCCAAGCCCAAAGACAAUGAGUAAGCAUUUUUCUCGCUUUCCGUUUGCUUACGCGACUUCAUUGAUAUAGAGAGGAAAAAAAGCCGACGACGAUCGAAGACAUUAAUUUGCCGAAGUAUCGUGACCGUGCUAAAGAGCGACGCGAGGAUCAAAAUCCAGACUACGAACUUAUGGCUGCCGCAUCAGGAAUUAGCAGCUUACACGCCGUAGCUCCUCCGGGAGCUGUCGAUUUACAGUCAAGUAAUCUGUUCUUACGUAGAAUUUUCUUUUUCAUGGUGGUGUGUUGUUAUCCCGCAGGGCAGCUGAAAGAAGAUAUCCAUAGCCAAUAGCAAGUAUCUUGGAGGUGAGUUUCACAGUUCCUUAAAAUACUGCUUUUAUGAACUGGUUUUGGUACAGGUGAUGUCGAGCACACGCAUCUGGUGAAGGGGCUGGACUACGCUCUCCUAAACAAAGUCCGGAGUGAGAUUGAUAAGAAACCAGAAGAAUUUGAGCAGCAGGCUGAGGAAGAAAUAAGGUGCAAAACUUCAAUUUUGGUUUGCGUUUUCUCAGAGUACGUUUUUAUUCAGGGUCCCAAUAAAGUUCAAUUCUCCAGCUGCGAGGGUAAAAUCCUAGUUCGCUGUGAAGUUGUUCUAACCUUGAAAGAGUUCUCGCAUUUUCUCAGGUGGUAUACAAAUGGUUGGUCAAGCCUCCAACUUCGAGCAAAACAAACGACAUGUUUCUUCCGGGUAUGGCCUUUGCAUUUGACAUGGUAAGCCUUAAAUUUAUUUGGUGGAUAUCUAAAGUUUUCCGGAAAUUCCAGGAAGAAAUGACACACCAUAUUCCUACCAUUGUGUACCGAAGCAAGGAUGACUGUCCUACACCCGAGGUAAGCAAGAAGAUAAGUGAGAGUUGUAUUUACAGUGUUUUCCUUUCGAUUUCACGCAGGAAUUUGUGACUGUGGGAGUGGACAUGGUUGUCUUAGAUAGAAUAUCCAAAAUCAUGGCUUAUUUGAAGCUGGGAGCUUCCAGUAAGGUGAGAGAGCUCGUUUGUUUUUUGUCUUAGCUAAAAUCUCUAAGAGUUUCUUUAUUUCCCAGGCCUCAAAGAAAAAGAGAAGAGACAAAUCCAACUCGUAAAGUACGUUUUUUUUCAUUCACUCUAAGAAGUUUCGGCCGACACUUGUUUGGCUUUCUCCAGGCACUGUAAAAGAAGAAGCGGCGGCACCACCGGUUGACGUCAAACAACCAGCGAUGAGUGAUGGUGAUGAAGCAAAGGAUAUCGACACUAGCACCGUCGAAGAGGAAGCACCAAAGGCUCGAGUCGUUGAAGACGACAUAUUUGCAGACGCUGGUACAGAGUACGUAGUAACCAUGAACGGCAGUCCUUGAUCCGAGGAUAUGGAGGAGUCUCCACGACGGGAUGGAAAUGGUGGCGAUUCACACUUUCAGGAGCAAAGAUCACAUGAAGACUGGGAACAGGCAAGCAUUCUAGCUAUCAGUUCUGGAAGACACCUGACUGGUUUUUCUUUACCUUCCAGGCUCCAGCGCAAGGUCCUGCGAUGCCUCAGUGCGGUAGUGAGUGGCAAUAUUAUCUUCCUUCUACUCCCGACGAUCCUUCCUACGAAUACUACGCCAAUCAGCUUAGCGUGGAAGGAAAUGCAAGCGUUCCAGCAGCAGCCAUUGCUCCUGCUCCUGCAAAGGAUCCUCGCUUCAUGACGCAGGAAGAGAAGGACAGAGGCAUGAGUUCGGUUUUCUGGCAUCUAUGUAUAGCCCAUUGUUCAUAUUAUAAUCGACCCAUUGGGCCAGCAUCCAUGGGGUAUCCAUGAGGCACAUAUCGGUUUAAGAGACGCUUCCUUGCCUUACUGCCCUGCUUUAGUGCUCUGUUGUUCUAUGCUCUGUAGAAUCUGUUCUUGGCUAUGGUGUAAGGGAUAUUUCGGGUGGUAUGGAGAGCUGCGGAGCUGCUAGGGAUUGAUAGCAAUGGCCGCAAUCACAGCUUCGGAUUCCAGUGUUCUGGAGCAAUUCCAUCACUUGUCAUUGCCUUCUCCCCUGCGUUGCCAUCCAGCUCGUCCCCGGCAGCUCCAGCUUGGCGACCUCCAUCCUCAAGAAUCGCAGUGCAAGAUGGAGGAAGCAAGAGGAUUCAACAAUUGCCUAGACGCCGCGGCGGGUAACAAUGGGAGCAUCGAUGGUUGCGAGCAGCACAGCGGCAGUUGGCAAUGUGGGGAGGACACGGCGAUGGCCGUCGAUGACAAUCAAGGCUGCCACACUCCCAAAUUCUAGAUGGAGUUAGAUGGAGUUCACUUACGCUUGCUAUGACACUGAGGUGUGCCAGAAAAGGAUAAUUCUUCUUCUUUUGCCAUGAGCGCCAAGAGCAAGAUGUGAGAACAUAGUGCUCUAGAUAAAGUAGUAUGGUAUGCAAUUUAGUCGAUUGUCCAUUUGGUUUGCAACAUUAACAACUGCUGGAAUGCAUGGGAUGAAUGGGUCUAUGGCCCAUGAAUGGCUCCAUUCCAUACAUAGCAUGGGUCAUUGCUAUGGGCAUGAUGCCCCAUCCAGGGCAUAAGGAUUGGAUAUUCGUAAAAUAUUCUAUGCUUGUGUUUUUCUCACACUCAUAAUACACGUGGACCAAUAACAGGCAUACACGUGGUGUGAGUGAAAUCCACCAUUGUAAAAUCCACCCUUUUACGAAUUGCACGCUAUAUUUUUCCUUCCAAUAAUAAGUUUGGCCAAAUGUACUGGAAAGGUAUUUUCUUCAUGUAAAUGAUAACCGUGCACUAACUAAACUGAGGGUGAUUUCACAGUGCUGUCCAACUGCAUCGAAGAGCCUGAGUCUUAAUGCCAAUGACCAUUCUAACUUGCUUAUUUUACCACCGUUAAUAUGCCGGCCGAGUGUUAGCACUAGGUUUCUAUUGGAAGCCUACCAACAAAGCACCACAUAUAAAAUGUAAUAAUAUGCUGCUCCUUAAUUAAUCUGUCAAAUAUGUCACUUCAAUUGUAAACAAAAAUUAAUCUAAUUAGAAUAUACUAGAUUAUAAGUUAUAAAUAUGUUUGGGGAAAUUAUAAAAUUGACAUAUAUCUAAAUCAUAUAAAAUUUUAUAUUUAGAAGUAUCCAAGUAUAUCCUAGAUAUAUCCACUCUACUCCAUUAUAAAAUAUAAGUAAAAAUUGAAUGCAUAAAAAGAUCAUUCUCAAUAAAAUUGUAGAUAUAGGAACAUUUUAUGAUAAAAUAAUUUUAUUUUAUUUCUUUUAGUCAGCAACGCUUACAUUGCUUGGUUAUUUAUUAUAAUCUUGGAUGGAUGGAGCCACAAAGUUGCUUUGCUUGAUCAUGCUCAUUCUUUGAAAACACUCAAAAUUCCUUUGCCCACAGCAAUCAAGGCAAUUGAUUAUGAUCAUUAAUGUAGAAACCUAUCUUAUUGAAGGCAUUGUACAACUUCUCCCCACUGACUGUGCUCCCAACAAAAGGCAUACACCCCAGUGUAUUGGUAGGGAUAAGUAGAAAUACACUUGUUAAUAAUUGGGCUAAUAGAUGUUGGAUUAUUCUGGAAUUUGAAUUGAUAAGCAACUAAAUUUUGUAGAGUAAAUUUAUUUUAAGAUGGAUCACACAUGAGCAAGAUAGAUACACUGUGAAAAUUAACAUUUGUUGCUCGAGAAAUUUUUGGGACUUUUAUAUAAGAGAUGUCCUAGACAUUUAGCCUCUAGAGGAAAACCAUCUCCAUUUUGAAAUUGAUCAGAAAGUUAAGUGCUUACUCCUAAAAGUGAUUGAUAGGCCAAUUUAUAAAGGGAAUAUAUUGCAUACUAAAACCUUGUACCACUCACUCCACAAACGAGGCAUAAUAACUAGGCUUGCCAUAAUAGCAACACCAACUGACCUUGAAAUAAGUAGGCAUAGACUAACAAUUGAUUUUACCUAUAAAUCUUUAGAGAGCAUAGUUCUUAUGCAUAAAACUAUCACUAUUUAUACCAAACAAGGUGAUAGAUAUACAAUAUUUCCCUUCACAAUCUAAUGAAUAAAAAGCAAUCUAAAAAAAAGUAUUCACAAGAUCUAGAACGAGUUUAUAGAGCACUUGCUCAUGAUAUCCAUGAUCUUAACCUCCUUUCAAAAUGGAUUAAAUUGCUCAAUCAAGCUAGAGAAAAGUUUAAAAAAGAGUGAGCUGAAAACAUAUUAGGUACACUUUAAUGAAAAGGAAAUCAUGACUUUGAUGGUCAUCCAGAAUACGGGAAUCCAUAUGCUACUCGGCAGUAUUGGCACAUAGAAAACACCUCUACUUCAGCUGAGAGUAAUGAAACACAAAACAACUAGAGUGAUUCCCCACAAAAGGAAGAAGAGCUAAAUUUACAACUGUAGUACACAUGGUUUUUACCCUUUAUCUUAUGGUGAUUUAUCAUAAGAUAAUCACAAAGCGGAACUGUAAGUGAUUAAAUUUGCCAUUCUACUUUAAUCACUUAACCACACUUCCAACCACUUAAAGAAGUCUCACUCACAACCUCCAUAAGUCAUAUUUUGGACUUAGGGCUUGCUAGCCCCAAACAUGCAUCCAUGCCACUCAACCUUUACAUUUGGUCCAAAUGCUUCACAAAUCCAAUCCCAUGACCAUCACCCAAAGGUACCAUCGACAUAUCAGCCCGUUAUGCUAAUGCCAUACCCAUUCACUUUUGUCACAUGGUGAUCCAACACUACCUACAUCACAAUCCAGUUUUUCAAAUACUAGACCAUUCAUCCAUAAGUGAUCAUUUUAGAUUCACUCCUUAGCAUCCUUAGGAUGCCCAUAGACAUAGGGAACAACCUUCUCUAAUAUCCCUUUUUUGGUCCUCACUAAGUCCCUUUCUGUCUAUGGCCCUAUUUGCCAAUACUGCCACUGGGUCAAGGCUCACAGGCUUGACCAUUAAGUCCCACUAUCCUUUGGGACUUUUUCACUAUGUGAUUGCAUCCUUGGUCACUACAUUAAAGGAUUGCUCUUCUUCCUCUCCACAAUUUAGGAUUUUAGGAUAACAUUUUGGAACACCAUAGCCCUAUACGAGCCUCAUAGGUAUUCUCCUUACCUUUUGCAUUUGGGUGCUAUAGCCAUGGGGCUAGAGUGAAGUUCUGUUAAGCCAUGCCAAGUAUCCAAGUAGGUAGUGCCACCCCCACUUGGACUAGGAGCAUCAACCAUUCGAUCUCUUAGGGGAACUAGAGUCGGCUCUUGAACUCUUCAUCAAGUUACCCCACUUGUCAGUUCGUAUUCACUCUAACUUUGAACUCCUCUGUCUCAAUGGAUAUAUCAUCACCCAACACAUAGGUUGGUCACAUUUUUGGAACCCCUUGCAGCCCCCCCCCCCCCCCUUCCUUGGGGGGGCGAUUGCUUUGGGCUUUCACCCAAUAGCAUAUAUUAGUAUUCGAACUCGAACUCGGUCUCAGUCUUGGUUCUAUCUCAAACUCUAUUUCGGACUCCAUUUUAAGUCCAUCUUGGACUCUAUCUCAGGUCCAUCUCGGACUCCAUCUUAAGUCCAUUUCGGACUCCAUCCCGGGUCCAUCUCGGACUCCAUCUUAGACUCUAUUUCGGGUCCAUCUCAGACCCAGAUUGCUCUAAGUUUAAGCUUGUUUAAGUUUUCUAGUUUAGCAACUCUUUGCUUAAGACCUUUUUUUCGUCUAGGCCAUUUUUAAUUGUGAUAUGCAAAAAGGGAAUUAUAAAUUCCAUAAGCGGUAAAGCUUCCUGGCCAUAAGUAAGACAAAAUAGUGUCAUGCCUGUGAUUACUUUAUAUGCAAUCCUAUAAACCCACAAAGCAUCUAGGAUUUACUUGUCUUAAUCUUUUUUAUUGUCGUUUACAAUCUUUUUUAAGAUAUUCUUAAGCACUUUGUUAAUAGAUCCAACCUGGCCAUUCCCUUACGGGUAAUAUAACAUGGACUUUUUGUGCUUGAGGAUAAAUUCUUGUAUAAAAAUUUCUAUUGUUUCAUUGAUGAAAUGGGUGCCUUUAUCUAUGAUGAUUUCUUUGGGCAAACCAAAUCUUACAAUGAUGUUUUCAUAAAAGAAUUUGGUAGUGUUAGCAGCUGUGGCCUAUUUCAUAAGCAUAGUUUCUAUUCAUUUUGUCAAGACCCCCAACAAAAUCAAGAUUGGAAAAUGUAGAAGACAAAGAGAAAAGCUAGUGGAAACGAAGGAGACACUUUAGACUGGCAUUGAUUUAGAUUGUGGAGAAAUGGAACAAGGUUAACCUAUAUAUACUAUAGGUUGAUGAUGCUCCACCACUCUUGGAUCGAGGACGGCCUAGAUAUAGCUGAGGUCGACGAGGCACCACGUCAUCAUCAGGAAUGUGGUUCGAGACUUAGGAAUCAUAUGGGAAAUCAGAGAGUCAAGAAUAGGGAAGUGUCUUGAGAGUUAGGAAUGUGGUCUACAGGUCAGGAAUCUGGCAAGAGUCAGGAAUGUGGCAAGAAUUGGGGGAUUCCUGACAACACCCCCUCCUCAAGAACAAGUGGAAUGAGGAUGUGAAUGAGAACAAAGAGGAGGAUGAGAUGGGCGGGGAGGGACGGGAGAUGGAGAAUGAAAAGAAUGAGGACUGGGAUGAGAAGGAUAGCAGCGGUGGAAGUCCUGAAUAAGGUCAGGAGAAUGAAUUAGGUUGUCCGCAGGUUCCCAAGUGCGUUCCUCAGCUCCGUAACCCUUCUAGUCUACAAGAUAGUAAAGUUUAGACCGUGAGAUCUUGGAAUCAAGGAUGUCCUGAACCUCAUACUCAGACCCAUCCUCGAGCUACACUAGUGGAGGCAGAGGAAUGACCGAAUUUGGAAUAGAACUAGGAAUAUAAGGUGUAAGCUCCUGAGUUUGGACUUUCCGGGAGGUCACCCAGCCUAGUACUAUUCAAACCCAAGGAUGCUUAACUCCACUAUCCCAAGACCCUUAACCUUUGGAAAAGGGGGUGCACUCUUGUUCAUGGGCCCUUUCCCUCUAUAUUUGAACCCCUAUGGAUCGUCUCUUAAGUUGUUCUCUUUGGUUGCUUACAAUCCACCACGCUUCCCUGCAAGUUCAAGCCCUCGUGAACGGAAGCUGAGAGCCCCAGCUCUCCCGAGAGCCCUGCUCUCUUGACACCCUACCCCUUGGGUCGAGCCCAGCAGGAGCAAACUGGACCAGCCAGAUGUCAAUCAACAUGUGGUGUGAUUCCCCUAGCCAACCAACAGAGUCGGACACGAGACUGCUCCGAUACCAAAUGUAAGCUCCUGAGUUUGGACUUCCCGGGAGGUCACCUAGCCCAGUACUAUUCAAACCCAAGGACGCUUAACUCCACUAUCCCAAGACCCUUAACCAAUUGGAAAAGGGGGUGCACUUUUGUUCAUGGGCCCUUUCCCUCUAUAUUUGAACCUGUAAGCCACAAAUUUUUCCUUUCCAAUUUGCUAGCUUACCUCGUCUAUCCGUCCAACACUGCCUUGGCUUUUGCUAAGUUCCCUUGCCAAGGUUCUCGCCUAUGGUACCAGCUCCUACUUGGUUUCAGCUACUCACUACACGAGCAACGGAGUGUUAGCCAUCCUUCCACGGAUUCCCAAAUCACUCCCAAUCCCCCUCCCCGGGUUAGACUGGACUUAAGGUUCGGCUACACUCCCCGCAAGCACAAGCAGCCAAGCACACCAAGCUUCCAGGUUCCUAACAUCCCUUGGUACCACAAGACUUGAUCAUGGGACCCUCUAAAUCCCAAGUCUUGAGUGCAACACUUGCUUCGGGACGUCGGGGCGAAACACCGUGGCCUAGCGGCCCGGUAUGGGUACCUCUCGCCCCCCACUUCCAUCCCGAAGGAAGGCCCAAGCCCCUAGGAAGGGCGAGGACCAAUGAGCCGCAUAGUACUCAAGUGGGGCACCACUCCACAUGAGCCGGGAGCACCGCAAUCGGUUUCCCUUUCGGGAGUGGGAGCUACUCUUGAGCACUUCCUUGGAUGGCCCCUCCGGCACCAGCCAAGUCCAUGCUCACUCCCACCCAAGGCCCCUUGGUCCCAGUCUCAACCUCAAGUCGGUUUAGGAGCUCCACUGGAGAGUCCCUUCAAAACUGGUUCCUGGACCUCACUAUCCCUACUAUACUUUUGGAACCCCCUGCAGCCCCCCCCCCCCUGGGAGACACAUGCUUUGGGCUUUCACCCCUUGACCCGUAUUAGUACUGGGACUUAGUCUCUGGCUCGAUCUCGGAUCCGAUUUCGGAUCCGACUUCGGAUUCGGUCUCGGAUUCGAUCUCGGACUCGAUCUCGGACCCGACCUCGGACUCGACCUCGGACUCGGUCUCGGACCCGAUUUCAGAUCUCGGACUCCGUCUCGAACUCGGUCUCGAACUCGGACUCGAACUCGGUCCCCGAGUCGGUCUUGGACUCGAUUCCGGACUCUAUCUCGAACUCGGUCCUAGAGUCGGUCUUGGACUCGAUCUUUGACUUGGUCCCAUCCGAUGAACUCUUUGUCAUUUUGGUCAUGCUUUCGGGGUUCCUUUAGCCUACGACACCUCGGCGAGUUGGUUCCUUACAACUCCACCACCCAUAGAAGAAGUUCGAUGCCCACAUCGAACGUCUCUUUUUUAUCCUACGACUUGUUGACCAUGUCUCCGGGGGCAUCCCCCCACUUAGCGGUGUGCCUAAGUCAGCCUCCCCGGCCAAGAGCCCAUGACAACGGAAUAUAGGUGUCCCUAUACUCCUCACCUCACCACGCCCUAGUAUGGGGUCGGGACUUGAACCCAGCCUUGCUUUACUAGGGGGUUGGGACUCGAACCCAACCUCUGUAGAAUACGUCUACGGAUUCGACAUCCCCGCAAGGAGUUAGGCGUAGCUCCCUACGCCUGGUUGACCUAGCUAACCCAUGCUAAUUAGCUUACCUUCGGCGCGCCUUCGGGUCCCAACAUAUGCCAUUGCUCAACUUCUCAAAUUGAUACUUUUAAUUGAACUUUGCAUAAGUACAUAGAGUUCUACCAUGCAGAAAUUCCUCCACAAGAUCUCGCGCGUUUGCUAGGUUCUCCUCCGGUUCCCAUGUUGCUUCGCAGUGUGGAAAUCCUUUCCACUUCACAUGGAACUCUCUCACCUCGCGUCCUUGUCGCUUGCUCUUGCGCGCAUUGAGGAUGGCCUCGACUUCGUAUUCCUCCUCCCCUUGGAUAACCUCAGGUAAAGGUCUUACUUGGUCCUUGCGAAGCGGAUCCUCAAAAUACGGCUUGAGUAAGUUCACAUGGAACACGGGAUGCAUCUUCCCCAUCUCUCGAGGAAGUCGGAGACGGUAAGCCACUUUACCGAUUCGAGCCUCAAUCUCGUAAGGCCCCGCGAACCUGCUUAAGGAACUCAAGAUCAAUUCAUUUACAGGAAUACAUGCAUUUUUACCUUUGGGUCAACUUUCGGCUAAUCCCACUUGGUAGCCUGAGGUUCUUGGUGUUCAGCCACACCUUCUCCCCAGCUUGGAACUCCACAUCCCGUGUUCAACCACACCUUUUCCCUAGGUUGGAACUUUACAUCUUGGCACUUUUGGUUCGCGUACUUAGUUUGUCUUUGUUGAGCCCGUUCCAAGGAAUCCCUCACUAGAUUCCAAAUGUUGAGUCUUUUCGCCGUGAAUGCCUCCACUGCGGGUAACUCUCCAUGAUACUCGGCCAUGCCGAGUUCCACAGGACCUUCAAUAGCUCGCCCAUUGAUGACUUCCCAUGGACUCACCCCGAUGCUCGAAUGUGGUGAGUUGUUAUAACACAUUUCCGCAAGUCCCAAAUGACUUACCCAGUCGGUCUGGUCUCCCGAGACAUAGCAUCGCAAAUAAUCCUCCAGCUGCCUAUUCACCCUUUCCAUUUGUCCGUCUGUCAAGAAGUGUUAGUGCCAUCAAUCUUGACUUAAUACCCAUUACCUGUCUGUGGGUGAUAGGCUGUGCUGAAUUUCAACUUGGUGCGAUACUGUUCUAGGAGUGUCCUCCAGAACCUACUGGUGAAGAUCUUAUCUCGAUCUGAGAUAAUCUCUUCCGGCCUUCCCCGCACUCGAACCACUUGUUCGAAGAACAGCUUCGCCACACCUUCCGUUGCGCCACACCUUCUCUCGAGUUGUUCCCUUUGGUUGCUUACAAUCCACCACGCUUCCCUACAAGUUCACGCCCUCGUGAACAAAAGCUGAGAGCCGCAGCUCUCCCGAGAGCCUCGCUCUCUUGACACCCUACCCCUCGGGUCGAGCCCAGCUCUCUUGACACCCUACCCCUCGGGUCGAGCCCAGCGGGAGCAAAUUGGACCAGCCAGAUGUCAAUCAACAUGUGGUGUGAUUCCCCUAGCCAACCAACAGAGUCGGACCCGAGACCCCUCUGAUACCAAAUGUAAGCUCCUAAAUUUGGACUUCCCGGGAGGUCACCCAGCCCAGUACUAUUCAAACCCAAAGACGCUUAACUCCAACUAUCCCAAGACCCUUGACCGAUUGGAAAAGGGGGUGCACUCUUGUUCAUGGGCCCUUUCCCUCUAUAUUUGAACCCCAUGGACCAUCUCUCGAGUCGUUCCCUUUGGUUGCUUACAGAACCCCUAUGGAUCGUCUCUCAAGUCGUUCUUUUUGGUUGCUUACAUAAGGCUUAAGAAGAGAGGAGUGAAAAAGGGGUGAAUUUGAUAUAAGGAGGGAAGUGCAAGGUGAUAGGUGAUAGGAUUAAUGAUAGCAGUGAUAGGGAAGGACCGAGGUGCUUAAAAUCAAGUUUGGGACAUGGCCUGGUGGUGGAGAUAGCUAGACUUUAUCCCCUUUAUUGUAAGGGGGACAAUCCUGACGAUGGACAUUGGCAAAUGUUUUGUGAGAUUCCUGAGCACGAUGGAGGUGGAAGGAGAUGGAGUUGUGGAUUUCUUGGAGGUUGGAGACAAAUACCUCAAAGUGGGGAUUUGAACGAGAGGAUUUGGAUGGAGAAGGAAGUGAGAGAUUGAAUCAGGGAUUUCGGCCAGAAUUUGCAAAGAAGGGGGAAACUCAAAGGGAGGAGUGAACAGAGUUGUUACAGGAGAACUCAGCAAGGGGAAGGAUAUCAAACCAGUCAUUCUAAUGAUAGUUGAUGAAGCACCUCAGGAAUUGUUCCAACAUCUGAAUCGUUCGCUCGGACUGUCCAUCAGUUUGAGGAUGAUACACUGAAGCGAGGUUAGCCUUCACUCCAAGCAACUGAUAAAACCGUUGCUAGAAAUGAGAGAUGAACUGAGGUCCCCAAUCCAAAACCACAUUUACAAGAAUUCCAUGAAGUCGGAAAAUUUCCCUAAAUACCAAUUUUGCCAUGUCUUCGCCCGAAAACUCCUUGGUACACAGCAGGAAGUGCGCCAUCUUUGUGAAGUGAUCCACCACAACUAAAAUGCUGUUGAAGCCUCCAGAACUCAGAAGAUCACUCAAGAAAUCCAUAGAGAUGGAUUCCGAGGAACCUGAAGGGACAGGGAGGGAAUGAAACAAAUCUGAAGGAAGGUGGUGAGGGACCUUAUUCUAGGCGCAAGUGUCACAGGAGGUAACAAAAGCUUUGAUGUAGUCGUCUAUGUGAGGCCACCAAAAGUCUUGUGCAACCAGCUCAUAGGUUUUUGCAAUGCCAAAGUGACCAGCAGUCGGGCUAUCAUGGCACGCCCAUAUGAAGGCUGAUAUCGGCCAAUGCAUAGAAGGAAUAGGCCUAAAAAUUAUCAGCUCGUCAAGAGGCAACCCGAAUGAAAUGGAGCAUACGCACUGCGCAAAGAGGCAAAGACGCGAUGCCAGUGUGAGGACCACCCAGGGAGACCAUAUUGGUAACCUGAAGUAGCAUAUGAGUUAGUUAGAUUACAUCUAGGGUACCAUAGCGGACUUACAGGAGGUCCAUCACACCAUUCAAUCAAUCCUCUUCCUAUCAAGUUUCCCUGUGGAAAACAUGAACACGGUAAUGAUAGAGAUGUGGUUUCGUCGUUCAGGCUCUACCUGGGAAAGACCACUCGACGGGUGCUCCUUCUCCUUCCUUUGGUUUCUCUUCAAUUUUCUUUCGUGGAUUGUUGUUUGUCAAGUACUUCAGGACCAACCUUUGAGCAUCACCUUCAGAAACGUAAAGCUGCUACCCACGGUACAAUAAGCCAUCUAAGAACUCGAACUCGUCAAAUCGCCGGUAGUCAGGAGUCACUGGGUGUCCAGCUUGAAGAUGGAGGAAAAUGUCACUGGCGAGGUCGUCAGAUUGAAGAUCGUUUCUGAUUGCAUCCAUCAAGGAGGAGUCCUGAGGGGCCAAAGAAAUUGCCAUAACUUGAAGCCGAUCAGGACCGAGGAUAACCUAAUCCUGUUGAUCGGAGGUAGGAUUACAAGGCCUGAGACUGAGAUAGGAGCGCCUUGAAAGAGCAUCAGGAAGGCCAUGAAGCUUUCUAGGUCUGUACUUGAUAACAAAGUCAAACCGACUUAGAAAUUGUGCCCACCUUGCUUGACGACGGCUCAAAACUCGGGAAGUGGCAAAGUACUCAAGAUUUUUAUGAUCAGUCUAGACCAUUGUUUGAUGGCUCGCCCCCUCCAAGAAACGACGCCACUCUCCAAAGGAAUCCACGAUGGCAAGGAGCUCCUUGUCGUGGAUUUCGUAAUUGAUCUCUACAAGCUAGAAUUUCCGAGAAUGGAAAGUGACCAGAUGAAAUUCUUGAUCUGCUCUGAGUUGAGACAGUACAGCACCAAAGGCAAAGUUGGAGGCAUCUGCCUCGAUGAAGAAAGGUUGUGAGGGAUCAGCGUGGAUCAAGACGGGAGCAAAACUGAAGGCCACCUUGAGUGUGUCGAAGGCCUGCUGGGUAGCAGUAGACCAAGAGAAGGAAACAUCCUUGCAAGUGAGAUGCAUGAGAGGAAGGACAAUGUCGAAGUAGUGAUCAAUGAAUUUGCAGUAGAAGUUGGUGAAGCCAAGGAAAACGUGAACAUCUGACAUUAAUUGUGGAGGCUCCCAUUCGAGAAUAGUCUUGACUUUGGCAUGAUCCAUCGUGAUACCCUCAGGAGUGAUAAUGUACCCAAGGAACUCCACAGACUCCUAAUCGAAUGAACAUUUCUCAAGCUUCGCGUUUAAGCCGUGUUCUCGUAGCUUCGCCAGCACCUUGCGCACAUGCUCGUUGUGCUCCUCUUGAGUUUUUUAGUAAAUGAGGAUGUCGUCGAGGUAGACAAUCACCAUCUGAUCAAGAAACUCCCAAAAGACAUUGUUUGCCAUGUGUUGGAAAACUGCUGGAGCAUUUGUCAAGCCAAACGGCAUGACAGUGUACUCGAAGUGGCUAUAGCGGGUUCGGAACGCAAUCUUCCAUUCAUCACCAAGCCAAAUCCGGAUCAGGUUGUAUGCUCCACAGAGGUUGAUCUUAGUGAAGAAGCAGGCACCGCCAAGGUGUUCCAAUAGGUCCGAGAUUAGGGGCAGCAGAUAACAGUUCUGAAUAGUCACCUGGUUCAAACCUCAGUAGUCGAUGACUAAUUGCAAACUCCCAUCCUUCUUCUUGACAAAGAAGUCAGGCGCUCCAUCCAGGGAUUGCGAAUGUUGAAUGUACCCCAAGGCAAGGUUCUCAUCCACUUACUCUUUGAGGGCCUUAAGCUCGGACAGGGAUAACCCAUAGAUAUGCCCCCAUGGAGGUGAUGCUCCUUCCUAUAAAUCAAUGGGACAGUCGUAAGGCUGAGGAAUAGGCAGUACACUAGCUUUUUUCUUGUCAAACACAUCCCCAAAAUCAUGAUACUUCUCAGGAAGACUGAUAGGAGAAACAUGCAAAGAAAAAAGGAAAACAGAUUCUUCAUGAAAGAGUUCUUACAUAGUGAUUGUGGAGAUAGGAGGAGGUGUAUGAUUGAAUGGAAUGAUGAGACGAGGAUACUAUUCAGUGUAAGAUGGAAGAGAGGGAAAAGAAGAGGGUGAAAAUUUCGUAGAGUCAGGAACAAAACCCCGAUUUGAGUUUAGGGAACUUUUCCUAAUUUGGACUCGAUGAAUAGCAGGGGAAGAUGUGGGAGAUGGUGACGUGGGAGAGACAAGCUGUAAUUCCUUCCUACAAAUAUGAGGCUGGUGCAGUUGGAACCAAGGAAGGCCGAGCACCACAAAGGAGGACUUACUGUUGAUGAUGUUGAAGGUGAUAUCGAUGAUGUGGACCUGAUGUGUACUUGAACGGGCAACGUUUCCUUAAGUCCAGAAGAUGGAGACACAAAAUGCUCGCCAAUGCCUUCAACCCUCAGAUCCCAUAUGGUAGGAAAAAGAGGAAUGUGAUGUCGUGCAGCAAAGUCCGUGUCCAUGAAGCAGGAAGUUGCACCCGAGUCUAGUAGUGCCAGAGCCUUGAGUUUUGAUUGUCCGGUGAAAGAAAGGAGACAUGGAAUGCGGAAGUUGCGGGAAUUGGUGGUGGCUUUGAUGAAAGUUGGUGAGGAACUUGAUAAAGAAGAAAAGUGAUUUUUAUUCAGGGAGUCCAAACAGAUAGCUCCUACUCUAUUUGGACAGGGUUAUUUCCCAACUGCAAUAGAGGUGGACCUUGAGGUAGAGUGAACUCGAGCAGUCGAGGAGGCUUCUUGGGACACACAGCUGCUUUGUGAUUAGGAUCAGCAUAGUAGAGGCAAAGAUUAUGAGAUACUCAAUGUUGCUUCUCAACAGCACUCAACUUCCCUCUGAUGAGUCAGGGAGUACCAGAAAUAUCCAUUGGGACCGGAGCAAUAGGUUCAGGAGUAACCCGAAGACUCAAGUUGGGAAUUUUGAGUCUGGGACGGGAAAACGACGACAUGGCGACUUUCCUAAUGUCGUUCAAAGAGAUGAUUGUUGCAUCAAACAGCUUUGUUGAUGGCAUCUGACAAGUCUGUGGGAUCCUCCAUGGUGAGCAACAAAUCCUUGACACCGUUGUUGAGGCUAAAACGAAAUUGAUCAAUCAGGGCCUGCUUAUCCCACUGAGUGUCCAAGGCAAGGAGUUGGAACUCCGCAGCAUAGAUCAAGGUAGGACAAGACCCCUAAGAGAGAUGUCUCAUCUUUGUGGUGGCAGCCCAAACCUGAUCUGUCUCACCAAAACAUGCUUCGAGCUUCUUUUUGAACAACCGAAGAUCCAUCAGCUCUGGAACCACGACCCCUUUCAUGCUCUUCUCCAUGAGAGGAGAAAACCAUGACAAAGCUGCACCUUCAAGCAACAUCCCAAUCGCGCCAAUUUGAGACUUAGAAGUGGGGUACUGCCGAUGUUGAAGUGCGAAGAUUAGCUCCAUCUGGUUCAGGAAUCUGUGAAGCUCCGAAUGUUUGCCUAAGAACUUCGCCGGGAAACUCACCUUCGGCUCAAGAACUCUACUUGAUCCUUGAGCUGAAAGUGAAGCAAGCACCUAUUGCAUGUGAAGAAGGGUUGCCUUCAGCUCGGUAUUCUUAGACUAGAUUUUUGCAAAGACUUCAGCAAAAAAAUCAGGAUGGCUUGGAGACUCCAUCGGCAAAGAAGAAAGAAAAAGGGGGAAAAAGGGGGAAAAAGGCAAAGGCAGUCAAACAAUCAAAACAAGCUAAAGCAAAAGCAAAAAACACAACCUGAAUCAAACUGUCAGGACCUCUAACAAGAUCAGGACUGGAAAAUGCAGAAGACAAAGAGAAAAGCUUGUGGAAACGAAUAAAAAGCCUUAAACUGGCAUUGAUUCAGAUUGUGGAGAAAUGGAACAAGGCUAACCUAUAUAUACUAUAGGUUGAUGGAUCAAGGACGGCCUAAAUAUAGUUGAGGUCAAGGAGGCGCCACAUCAUCAUGAGGAAUGUGGUUUGAAACUCAGGAAUCAUACAAGAAAUUAGAGAGUCAGGAAUAGGGAAGUGUCUCGAGAGUCAGGAAUGUGGUCUGUGGGUCAAGAAUCCGGUGAAAGUCAAGAAUGUGGCAAGAAUUAGGGGAUUCCUAACACAUUUAGUCACAUAAUUAGUGGUGACUAAAAUGUAUUUGUUCCUCUUAUUGCUUGUUAUUAUAAAUUCUACAAAAUCCAAUCCCCAUUUAUGAAAUGCUUCAUAUGGAUAGGUAGGAUUUAGUUCGUGGAUUUGUUUUUUAGACUGCAAUUUAUUCAUUUAGCAAAUAUCAUAAUUUUUGCAAAAAAUUGUUGUGUCUUUCUAAAGUGUAGGCCACUACAACCCUACUUAUAAAACUUUACUUGCAGUGAUUUCAUCUACAAAAUGGCCUCCUAAUGGGUUAAAUGAGCUUCUUUUAGGAUUUCACUCCUUCUUGCUUAUUAACAUAUCUCCUUAGUGUUCUAUUGAUGCCUAAUUUAUAUAGAUGCUUCCCCACGACAGAGUAAGGUUGUGUCCUUAAAAUAAAUUUCUCUGGUGAGUUAUAGUGAGCUGGAAUAGUGCUUGUAAAAAGAUAGAUUUAUAUAUCUUCCAACCAAGUGGUAGGCACAGUGAUUGCAAAUAAGUGAACAUCUAGGAGUUCGUCCGGUUUAGGGUUUAGAGCAUCUGUAACAAUAUCAAAAGUAUCCACUAGUAGGUGAAACUCUUUUGUCCAAUUUGGCUUAACAAGUAUAAGUGUCUUUUUAAGGCAUUGUUUAAGUCUUAAAAAUUCUUUUAUAUAAAUGAAAUAUCUUUCUUUAAAAGAUCAGUAAAUGGCUUGGCAAUUUUUGUGUUAGCUUUUAUAAAACGCUUAUAAUACCCAAUAUUGCUUUGAAAGCAACAUAGACUUUUCAAAUUAUGUGGUAGAUAAAUUAUUUUAAUUACUUGAGUUUUGCUUUUGUCUACAAGGAUGCCUUUGUGAGACACAAAUCCCUAAGCCCCAAUUUGGAGCCGAAAGGGCACCACAUGGUGGUGGCUGAAGUGAAAGCCAAACGAGCGUAACACGUUUGGAUUGAAAGCUAGGUCAAGAGCGGGAGUGAAACUCUCAACGAAGUGCUCAAGGAACAAGCACGAAGUGAGCGAUAAGUGAGUCUCUAGAAAAAGGACCCGAGAUGGAGUUUGAGAUGGUGUCCGAGAUGGAGUCCGAGCUGGACCCGAGAUGGACCUGAGAUGGAGUCCGAGAUGGAGUCCGAGAUGGACCUAAGAUAGACCCAAGAUGGAAUCUGAGAUGGAGACCGAGAUGGACCAGAGAUGGACUUGAGAUGGAGUCCGAGAUGGAGUCCGAGAUGGACCUGAGAUGGAGUCUAAGAUGGAACCGGGACCGAGACCAAGACCGAGUCCAAGUUCGAGGGCGAGACCGAGGCCGACACCGAGACCGAGUCCGAGUCCAGGUCCGAGUCCGAGUUCGAGUCCAAGUCCGAAUACUAAUACAGGCAGUUGGGUGAAAGCCCAAAGCGAUUGUCCCCCAGGGGGGACGGGGGGGGGGGCUGCGGGGGGUUCCAAAAGUAUAGUAGGGAGAGUGUGGGGGUUGGAUCCCAGUGGAGCUAGUUUAGCCAGGAAAGGCUAGUUUGGCCCAGGAAGGCUAUGCCCAGGUGCUGGGUGACGGGAUAACCACUGGGAAGUCCAAGGCUAGAGUGAAUACGAAUUGACAAGUGGGGUAGCUUGGUAAAGUGUUCAAGAGCUGGCUCAUACCCCCCUGGGAGAUCGACUAGCCGAUGCUCCCAAUCCAAGUGUGGGUGGCACUACCUACUUGGAUACCUGGUGUGGCUCAAUAGAACUCGCUCUAAGCCCAUGGCUAAAGCACCCAAAGGCGAAAGGCAGGGAGAGUACCCAUGAAGCCCACAUAGGGCCACAGUGUUUCGAAAUGUUGUCCUAAAGUCCUAGAUUGUGGAAAGGAAGAGGAAUAGUCCUCUAGUGUGGUGACCAAGGAUACAGUCAUACGGUGAGGAAGUCCUAGAGGAUAGUGGGACUUAGUGGUCGGGCUUGUGGGCCUUGAUCCAGUGGUAGUGUUGGCAAACAUGGCCAUGGACAGAAAGGGACUUAGUGGGGACCAGAAAAAAGAUAUUUAGGAAGGCUAUUCCCCAUGUUUGCGGGCAUCCAAAGGAUGCUAAGGAGUGGAUCUGGGAUAAUCACUCAUGGACAGAUGGCCCAGUCUUUGAGAGACGGGAUUGCAAUGCAGGUGGUGUUGGACCACCGGUGUGACCAAGGUGAAUGGGCAUAGCUAUAGUGUAACGGGCUGAUAUGUCGGUGGUACCUUAGGGUGUCGGUCAUGGGAUCGGACACGUGGAGCACUUGGACCAAGUGCAAAGGUUGAGUGGUAUGGAUGCCAUUCUCGGGGAUAGCAAGCCCCAAGUCUGGAAUAGGACUUAUGGAGGUUGUGAGUGAGACUCCUCCAAGUAGUCAGAGGUGUAGUUAAGUGACUAAAGUAGAAUGGAGAAAUUAAUCACGUACAACUUGGUAUUGGAAUUGUUCUUUAGUCCGACUUUUAUUGGUGCUCAAGUAUAUCACCGCUAGUGUUGGCAGUGGAAGGUCCUAGGAGUGGGCCUAUCCUUGAGGAGUAGCAGGUCAGGAAAACAUGGCUCUCCACUACAAUUCAUGUGUGAACUUGUAGGUGAAGCGGUGGAUAGAAAAGGGCCAAUAACGGAACAACUUCAGGAUCUUGGGAACAGUAUAAGGUUUUCCUCAGAAAGUUGAGGAUGUGAUCUAGAUGAGCUUUUGACUUAGCAAACUAGUUAAUGUAGUUGUGGUAAACAACUAUAGUUGGGAUCACGAGAAAGAUAGAAACUCCAAAAUAAUAAAGGAGUCACAAGAUUAUCCUCACAUAGUUGAGGCUGGUGCUCAUGAAUUUGAGACUGGAAUUGACGACCGUGAAAGGUCAAGUACGGAUGAGGACACAAAUUCUUGGGGCUACCUUUUAUAAAUGCUAGAACAAACCCAAGGAGUUGGGGUUGUGCUCAAAGGAUGAGUCAAUAUUCUCAUCAUAUGGACGGAUAGUCCUAAGGGGCAAAGAUAGCCCAUAGAUAACAGAAAAUAAUAAAGUCUUGGAGUAACACUUGCAAAGAUGGUCCUUAUGAGUAAGACAUGAAUACACGAAGUUGUAUUUUAGUGAGCUGGCACCUCAAAAUAAGACCUUGCGGGUCAAUGGGUUAGCAAAGUCCAAAAAUGCUGGAUGACUCGAGUAGAAUCAAGAAAUGGUCUAAGGGAUUGGUAAAAAGCAUUUGGACUAAGGUGUGUUGUGCCCUACGAAGGUUGGGGAGGAUCAUAAGAUUCAAGUAUGAGAACAGUGAGUAUCUCAUCGAUGGCAGAAUGUGCCAUACUAAAGUUGUGGGAAAGGUGUUCCCAUAAGAAAACAACUUUGAUACAAAGUUGUGCAUAAACUCUAUUGUGCAGUGCAAAUGGAUAGUUGGCAUGAAAAAGAACUGUAUUGGACUUGGUAAGGACCUAGACACAAGUAAAAAGUGUCAUAAAAGUAGGCUCAUGGAGCCGAUGAUGUGGAGACACCAAAUGUGCUAAGGCGUGAUGCAUUAAGGUGAAAUUGGCAAGUUCACGAGAACCCUUUCCCAAAGGAAUCCUAAUGGAAAUGGGAAUAGCAUAGCCUAAGCUGAAAGGCAUGCCGUUAGAGGGUGGUGACCGAAAUAAUGAUGGAGGUGUGGAAGCACCAGUAAUGAAUUGUAGGACUUGACAACUAUGAGGUAACUAAGCAAAAUGUGCAAAAUAAUUGGUUAAACUGGUAGAAGGUAAUUACCUAAGGCUUCUUAUUAGGAUAAAGAAGUUAAAUAUACCCUUAUAGGGGAUAAAUUGUUUAUGUUGUGAUAUAGUAAGUAAAUGUCAUAAAGGGAAUGCUCAUUGUCAAAAGAGGCCANNNNNNNNNNNNNNNNNNNNNNNNNNNNNNNNNNNNNNNNNNNNNNNNNNNNNNNNNNNNNNNNNNNNNNNNNNNNNNNNNNNNNNNNNNNNNNNNNNNNNNNNNNNNNNNNNNNNNNNNNNNNNNNNNNNNNNNNNNNNNNNNGACUUUGUGUCACGCUCCCCCUCUCAACCGCAGGUCGCAGUGAAGCCAAAAGCAAGUACUAAAGGGAUAGAACCGAACCAUGGGAAUCAACGGGCAUAACCAAGGGUGGUUAUGCAAGUUGAGAGUGGAGAAUCAAGCGGGUGCUUGAGCAUGUUGUUACUAGCGACCGGGAUGCCAUGGAGAGUCUAAAACAGAGGAUUGUUCAUGUUAGACUAUAUGGCAAUUGGAAAGCUUGCGAAAGAAAAGGCUUUAACAAGCUAAGGAACAGAGUUCCUUGAAGGUUCCCCUAGGUAGAUAAGUACCUUGAAAUCCAAGUGUAAAUGGUUCAUAGGGCGCGCGAAAUCAAAGUGGCACAGUAGAAGCGUGGUCUUGAAGCUUGCUAAGAGGCGAGGCUAUCAAGGUUAGGGAAGUAGUUGUCGAGUGUUCAAAGAGAGGGCUUUGAACGAAAGUCGAUGGUUGAGGACUUUCACGCUUAUACAUGAACCAUGUUACAGUUGUCGGAUGACUUGUUAAGUGAGAUUGGCAAGUCAGGGGAACAAAUACCCUAGUUGAAGGAGCCAACUUCAAAGGGGUGGCCCAUGGGGCCAAGCAUGGAGGAGUCCAUGCAUGAUCAUAAACUUAUCAAGUGAGAGGAUUUGGUAGUGUGGAGGAACUAGGUUCCUAAGCUGUGAUCUGUAGUGCAUUUUAAGUAUAAGUUGGUGUACUGGCAUGGGAAGUCACACCAGGCAUUCAGUGUGAUGCCGUCCAUAAAUGCAUAUACGAAGGUUGGGUUUGAGUCCCGACCCUCUAGUGCUUGGGUUCAAGUCCCAACUCACUAGGGUGCAGUGAUGGUUUGGAAUAUGAGGACACUCAUUUUUUGAUGGUCAUGGACUCUUAGUAAGGAGACUAGCUUAGGCACACUGCCAAGCGAGGGAUACCCCGAAGUCAUAAUACACAGUUAGAUUGCUUAGUGUGGCUCGGCAUAUUUAACUUGAACACUUUGGUGCAAGUAGCACCAAGGGUGUGGUGAAUGAGAUGGGGACACCCAAUCUCAGUUGCUAUGGACCCUUGGCAGGAAGGGCUGGCUUGGGUGCACCGCCAAGUGUGAGGGAUGCCCCCAGGGUCAUGGUCAACAAUUUAAAGGUUUGGAAGACUUAGUAUCUAUUGGCAAACUUAAUAAGGUGUCGAGGCUAAAUCACUAGGUGACCUCACGACUAAAUAAGGAUAAGGUCUUUGUGAGGUUAAGGAAUAAAGUUCCUAAUUCAAAGUGUCAACUUAAACUAUUGAUAAUGGUGUGGCUUAGUCAAAAUGACCAAAUGGGAAGGACACCAAAAGGGAAAUCAGUUGUGCCAAUAUGAUGGUAUAGCGAGUCCAAGAAAGUGGCCUCUAGGAAAGACCUAUGGGAGGGUCACAAAGUUGGGCUAUUGAUGGAGCUUAAUGCUAAAGAGACCUCCUAGGGGUGAGCACCCUCUGGACUUGGCAAAAUAGAGCCUUUACCAUGGAACCAAAAUGAUACUUCGAGAAUGGAGGUAGUGAUCCUAUAUUGCUUGGUGCAACAAUCAACGAAUAGGAGCAAAAGAAUAGUGGCUAAGAAAAAAGCCAUGGGAAUCAUGGAAAAGAAUCCAGAUGGCAAAGUUAGGCCAAAACACUAAAGUGUUGGGUGCUAACAGAUUGUGGGAAAAGCAAUGUGUUUCCAAGGAUGGAUUCCCAAUUGCUUCAAUUUGGCGAAAGCGGAAGCUUUAGAGGAAGGAGCGGUAAGGUAGCCAAAUGAUAUAGCCAUAGACAACCUUAGCACAAAUUAUGAUAACUGGAACUUAGUGCCAAAGGUGGCACGAAAUCAAAGAGAGGAUGAUGGUGCCCUCAAGUAGAGAACUUCUUAAGAUGGGGAAGUGGAGUUGCACCAUAUGUGUAAUGCAAGGUGUCGGAGACACUUAGGAAGUUGACUCUGAGAAGUUAAAAUUAAAAGUUCCAAAGUGCAAAGGUUAUAUCGAUAGAAACUGAGACUACUCGAGAAUAAGUAAUAGGAUUGAUAUAGAGAAGGUGUCUCUAACAAGUUUAGUGAGAACUAAACUAAUAAAAAGAGAGAACCACCACAAGUGGUCGAAUAAGCCUCUAAGUUGGAGAGACUAUGCUCCUUAGAAGAUAAGCAAGGCAUGAUGAGCCUUUAGUAUCAAACCAUUGACGAAUAUGGGCAAAAGGCCAAGGAUGGAAAAGGUAAUACAAGUUGGUAUUACUUUAUAAAAUAGUUUAUCGUUCGAUGAGGACAUCGAACUUCGUCUAUGGGUGGUGGAGUUGUGAGACACAAAUCCCUAAGCCCCAAAGUGGAGCCAAAAGGGCACCACGUGGUGGUGGCAGAAGUAAAAGCCAAAUGAGCGUAACAUGUUUGGAUUGAAAGCUCUAACUUGAAAGGUCAAGAGCGGGAGUGGAACUCUUAACGAAGUGCUCAAGGAACAAGCACGAAGUGAGCGAUAAGUGAGUCUCUAGAAAAGGGACCCGAGAUGGAGUCUGAGAUGGUGUUCGAGAUGGAAUCCAAGCUGGACCCGAGAUGGACCUGAGAUGGAGUCUGAGAUGGAGUCCGAGAUGGUGUUCGAGAUGGAAUCCAAGCUGGACCCGAGAUGGACCUGAGAUGGAGUCCGAGAUGGAGUCCAAGAUGGACCCGAGAUGGAGCUGAGAUGGAAUCCGAGAUAGACCCGAGAUGGACCCGAGAUGGAGUCCGAGAUGGAGUUCGAGAUGGACCUGAGAUGGACCUGAGAUGGAGUCCAAGAUGGACCCGAGAUGGACUCGAGAUGGAGUCCGGGAUGGAGUCCGAGAUGGAGUCUGAGAUGGAGUCCAAGAUGGACCCAAGAUGGAGUCCGAGAUGGAGUCUGAGAUGGAGUCUGAGAUGGACCCGAGACGGAGUCCGAGAUGGACCCGAGACAGAGUCCGAGAUAGAGUCCGAGAUGAACCCGAGAUGGAGACCGAGAUGGAAUUGGGACCGAGACUGAGACCGAGACCGAGACUGAGACCGAGUCCGAGGCCGAGACCGAGACCAAGUCCGAGUCCAGGUCUGAGUCUGAGUUCGAGUCCAAGUCCGAAUACUAAUACAGGCGGUUGGGUGAAAGCCCAAGGCGAUUGUCCCCCAGGGGGGAUGGGGGGGGGCUGCGGGGGGUUCCAAAAGUAUAGUAGGGAGAGUGUGGGGGUUGGAUCCUAGUGGAGCUAGUUUGGCUAGGAAAGGCUAAUUUGGCCCAGGAAGGCUAUGCCUAGGUGCUGGGUGACGGGAUAACCACUGGGAAGUCAAAGACUACAGUGAAUACGGACUAAUAAGCUGGGUAGCUUAGUGAAGUGUUCAACAGUUAGCUCUAGUUCCCCCGGGAGAUCGAAUAGUCGAUGCUCCCAAUCCAAGUGUGGGUGGCACUACCUACUUGGAUACCUAGUGUGGCUCAAUGGAACUCGCUCUAAGCCCAUGGCUAAAGCACCCAAAGGCGAAAGGCAGGGAGAGUACCCAUGAAGCCCACGUAGGGCCACGGUGUUUCGAAAUGUUAUCCCAAAGUCCCAGACUGUGGAAAUGAAGAAGAGUAGUCCUCUAGUGUGGUGACCAAGGAUACAGUCACACGGUGAGAAAGUCCCAAAAGACAAUGGGACUUAGUGGUCAAGCCUGUGGGCCUUAAUCCAGUGGUAGUGUUGGCAAACACGGCCAUGGACAGAAAGAGACUUAGUGGGGACCGGAAAAAAGAUAUUAAGGAAGGCUAUUCCCCAUAUUUGCGGGCAUCCAAAGGAUGCUAAGGGGUGGAUCUAGGAUAAUCACUCAUGGACGGAUGGCCUAGUCUUUGAGAGACGGGAUUGCAAUGUAGGUGGUGUUGGACCACCGAUGUGACCAAGGUGAAUGGGCAUGGCCAUAGCGUAACAAGCCGAUAUGUCGGUGGUACCUUGGGGUAUCGGUCAUGGGAUCGGACACGUGGAGCACUUGGACCAAAUGCAAAGGUUGAGUGGUAUGGAUGCCAUUCUCGGGGAUAGCAAGCCUGAAGUCUGGAAUAGGACUUAUGGAGGUUGUGAGUGAGACUCCUCCAAGUGGUCAGAGGUGUGGUUAAGUGACUAAAGUAGAAUGAAAAAAUUAGUCACUUACAACUUUCCUUGUAGACAAUAUGGCUUAGAAGUAUAUCAAAAUUUACAAAGAAUGUACACUUCUUUGGAUUAAGAGAAAUGUUGUGUUCUUAACAUUUUUUAAAACAUUUUUGCAAGAAAAUUAAAUGUUCCAUUUUGGAGCUAAAGAUACUAAAAUCAUCCAUGAAAACUCUCAUAAAAUCAGUGAGAUAUUCUUUAAAAAUGUUUGUAACAACUCUUUGGAAUAUAAAAAGAGCAUUGCAUAGGCUAGAAGGCAUUUUGCAAUAGACAUAAGCUCCCUAUGAGCUUAUAAAAGUUGUUUUAUGUUAAUAUUCAAAUGCUACUUCCAUUUGGUUAUAGCUAGAGAAUCCAUUUAAAAAUGAAUAUAUUUCAUAACUUGCUACCGAAUCUAGAACUUUAUUUGUGAAAGGGAUAGGAAAUAUAUAUUUUUUCAUUGCAUUAUUUAGCUUUUUAUAGUUCACAUAAACUCGUAACUUGCCAAUUUUCUUAAACACAAUUAUAAGUGGUGAAAGUUAUUGUGCAUUUUGAAUUGGAUAAAUGAAUCUUACUUGGAGAAGUUGAUCGAUUUCUUCCCUAAUUUUACUAUGAUAAUUGGGAUUCAUUUUGUAGGGCAUUUGCCUCUUAAGUAGAUUUCCCAAAAGUAUCUCGAUGUGAUAUGCACAAAGUUCUAGUGGGAUGCCUUCUAAAUAUAUGUAAAACUAGGCAAAAAUGUUUUUGUAGUCUUUUAGUGGAUUUAUGGCCUGAUUCUAAAAUUUUCUUUGCAAUCCUUGAGCAAUUGUGAUAAUAUGUAGAUUAUUUUCAUCUGCCAAAUUGAUUUGCUCAAGUGGUUGAUCACAAGAAAUAUAUAUAACAUAGUUUUGCUAUUGAUCAAUUUUAUCCAUAGGAUCCUCUUUUAGGGAGAAAUCCCUUAUUGCCGUAUCAAUCUUUGGUCUAAGUGCUUAUUUACUAGAUAUCUAUUUAAGUAUUAAAUAGAGAUCCACUUCUAAAAUUGAUUCAAUUUUAGGGAAAGCUUUUAAGAUUUGUUGUUCUUGGAAAUCAUCUAACCCUUCCUUUCAAUCAUACAAUUGAGUUUUGAGGGGUUAAUCUUUUCUUUCCAACUGUAUAGUGGAGAUGAGCAGAGAUCAUUUCUAGCUACUUUGCUCUAUAUGCAUGAAAUCAUUUUUCUAGUCUUGGUUUGUGCAAGCAAUUUUUAGCUAUGGUUUGCCUAGUAGAGUUGUGUAGGUAGCAUCUUGUUAUAUCAUUUUAAGUACAACAUAAUUGAUUUUAUACUUUAAGCCAGCCACAUUGGUCAAGACAUUUUUUAUGAUUCCAAUGGGCUUGAUGCUUCGGUUAUCUGCCAUUCAUAUAUUAAAUGGGGUUGGUCAAAUUGGGCUUAAGCCUAAUUCUUUGCAAAUACUCUCUUCUAGAACAUGUACACCUAACCCAUAAUUGAUAAGAAUUCCAAAUAAUAUAUUUUUACCAAUCUUUAUAUCAAUUUUACCAAUUUUCAGCAAGUAUAUUUUUGCCUAUAGGUAUCUAAGCUUUAUUAAGGUUUCUACAAUAGCUUCUUUGUCUAGGAUUGCAUCAAAUUCUAGUAAUUGUCUCGUAGACAGAAUUUUAUAAAUUCUUUGUAAGUUGUAAUACUCAGGAUUUACAUCUAGCUUGGAUAGGUAGACUAUCUCUCUGUCUAGGAAAAAUCCUGGUACUAUUUUCUUUUUGUAUAGGUAACUCUAUAGGUAUAAGUCUCGCUUAUACUAUGUACCCACAAAGUAAUCUAAGUGUAUUAACACACCUUCUUUAACAAUAGUAAAGGUACUAGAAGUUAAACUUCUGUAUAUCUUGAGCAAAAUUCAGCACAAGGUCUUUGGCGUAUAAUAGUCAAUUCCGGAAUAACUUGCUUACUUCAAAUUGGAUCUUACCCUUUGGCUUAUACCCAACUUUGCCUUUACAACUGUGGAAUUAGAAAAAGUGGCCUAUUGCAUUUGGCAAAUUUUUGCUGAACCUCUUUUGAAUGGAUCAACACUAGGGACUAAUUUGAACAGGGCGUGAAGAUCAAUUGCCCUAUGGAAUCAAUACAAAGGUCAAAUUGUCUAACAUAUGAUAAUCUAUUCUAGAUCAAUUUGUUUGUGGAAAGAUGUUAAGUAGUUUUUCAAACUUGUGAUAGCUAAUUUAAGCUCUAUUUCGUUAAAGUGGGAAUUUUUAUUAUCCCACUUGUAAAAUAAGGUUUCCAAACCUUUAUAUAGUAUA